CAAUUCUGGUGUGGAAGAAAACAAGGAAAAGACGGUGGUUAUCUAAAGCUUGACUUGUACGAGAAUUCUGUUAUCUAAAGUUGGGGAACUGCAUAUUUACCUUGCUAGCAAUCUAAUUUCAUGUUCAAGGCCUAUUGGCAAUGACGUAAUUAGCAUUUAUUUGGGAACAAUCUUCUUGCAAGGAAAGGAGAGGGCUGGAAAUCCUGAGACAUUGAGUCUAAAGCUAGGAAGUGACAUUAUUUUAACUGAAAAGGUUCAACCCUGCGGUGGUAUUUGGAGUGACAACUGCUCUUUGAAAAUGGGAAGAAGACGCCCCUUCAUACUUGCAGGAUCUCUCAUUAUCUCUGUUGCCAUGCCAUAAGUCAAUCAUUGCAAUUCUAGAGCUGCGUGCUAGGUGGGGG
rnacentral:lncRNA from 1 species